AUCUCUGUUUUUAAUUUUUAUGCCCAAAAAGGAAACUGUGCAGAAUCGGUUAACUAUUCACAAAGGCGAAGGUUUGAUGCUCGACGCAGGUUUGGCGGAUCGUCGGCGACAGACGGCGGACUGAGAUUUGUUGAUUUCUUACAAACCUUCCGGCGGGCGUUAGCUCCACUGCCGGACUUGCCUUCUAAUUGCGUUGUUGAAAUCGCCUGCGGACGGCGAUACAGCGGACAAUAGCGCGGAAAAUCUUGACCGGAUUUCGAUAAUUGUAUUGGUUAGUUGUGUUUUAUCAGCAAAACAAGUGUAAUUGUCAGAGAAAACGAUUUUGCUCGUUACUGUUUGCUGGAAAAGAAAUUUAUGGAUUUGGUGUGAAGAUCCAUCGGAUUGAUCUGCUUGAAAUUUUGCUUCCAUUUUGUCUUCUGUUUCUGGUGCGAGGUGUUGAUAUAUAGAGAGAGGAGAUAUAGUGGUGGGAUGAAGGUGAAGAAGAAGAGAUAUGGCGAAGGUAGAGUGGGGUUAUCAAGGAAGAGGUAAAUUGGCGUUUUCGUACAAGAAAACCACUCUCAUCAUUUGCUCUAUCAACAUUAUCGUUGCUCUCUAUGUUCUUCGAUCUCUAUAUGCUUCUCUCUACCUCUAUACGGAUAAUGAUUCUCGAAGUGUUGUAAAGUACACUCCGGAUCAGAUUAGGAAAAUGGAACAGUUUAUUCGGAUUCGUCGAGCCUCUAAGCCGGUAGAGCUCAUUAAAUUUGUUAAGGAGCUUAAAGAAUUCUCCCAAGAAGAAACGGUGAAUGAAUUGCCUCAACCAUUGAAACAGAAGAUAACUGAGGAAAUUCUUCUGAAAUUGAGAAGCUCAAAUACUAGCUCCAACAGUACUCAGCAGAGAGAAGCAGUAGAAAGCUGGAGAAAGGAAAAAUUGGAAGAAGCAAGGAAGUUAAUCACAGAACAAACGAUUGAAAAUUCAACUCUUUCUUCUGAAGAUGCUGGGAUUCUAGUAAAAGCCUUGGAGACUGAUUGGGCAGUGCUGGCUGAAGAAAUUGGUGUGUGGAUACCAGCGGAGAUCUUCAACAGGGAGCAUGAUGAUAAGCCUGAAGACGCAGAUGAAUUCGAUGGUGAAGUUUUACCUGGCAGGCCACUUCCACCUGAAUGUAACGCCGAGCUCCAUACAGAUUACGGUGGUGCUGCUGUAAGAUGGGGCCUAACACAUCAUAAACAAAGUGCAGCGGAUUGCUGUCAGGCUUGCUUGGAUCAUGUGAAACGAGCGCAACCAGGUGGAAGAAAAUGCAACAUCUGGGUUUACUGUCCAUCUGAGACUGGAUGCCACUCUCCUGAUAUCUAUGAGCAUAAAUAUAUGGAGUGCUGGCUGAAAUAUGCAGAAACUCCCAAACUGAAUUUCAAGACCUACUAUCCACAAUCUUACAGAAACUCACACCCGACCGCCCCGCUGAUCGUCCCUUGGGUCUCUGGUGUUAUUAGCGUUUAAUUGUACGACAAAUCAGGCAAGAAACUUCCACUAAAAUGAUUGUGACUUCCCUUGUCUUUCUUACAUUUGAGCAUCAUUGUCCAUAGAGUAGUAUGAAUGUUCUGUUUGAUUCAUAUCUGGCUUACUUUCAUGUAACACGGGUUUUGGCGAACUUGGUGCCACCACUUCAUAUCGACGAGUCGAAGGCCGAGAGGGCGAUAGAGGUAACAUGAAAAAGAAAGGCUAUUUUUUUU